AAAUCGUAACAAGGUCUCCGUAGGUGAACCUGCGGAGGGAUCAUUACACAAAUAUGAAGGCGGGCUGGAACCUCUCGGGGUUACAGCCUUGCUGAAUUAUUCACCCUUGUCUUUUGCGUACUUCUUGUUUCCUUGGUGGGUUCGCCCACCACUAGGACAAACAUAAACCUUUUGUAAUUGCAAUCAGCGUCAGUAACAAAUUAAUAAUUACAACUUUCAACAACGGAUCUCUUGGUUCUGGCAUCGAUGAAGAACGCAGCGAAAUGCGAUAAGUAGUGUGAAUUGCAGAAUUCAGUGAAUCAUCGAAUCUUUGAACGCACAUUGCGCCCUUUGGUAUUCCAAAGGGCAUGCCUGUUCGAGCGUCAUUUGUACCCUCAAGCUUUGCUUGGUGUUGGGCGUCUUGUCUCUAGCUUUGCUGGAGACUCGCCUUAAAGUAAUUGGCAGCCGGCCUACUGGUUUCGGAGCGCAGCACAAGUCGCACUCUCUAUCAGCAAAGGUCUAGCAUCCAUUAAGCCUUUUUUCAACUUUGACCUCGAUCAGUAGGUCCCCACA
rnacentral:rRNA from 1 species